rnacentral:tRNA from 2 species
GCCCCAGUAGCUCAGCUGGAAGAGCGACUGCCUUGUAAGCAGUAGGUCGUGGGUUCGAAUCCCACCUGGGGCU